AUUUCUAGUGAUUGUGUUCAGAUUAUUUGUGUUCUUAAAAAAGAAAAAAAUGAAUAUUUCUGUAGCCCUAUUUUUUAUGGAUGAUGAGGAGGAGGUUCAAAUUGUCCCACGGAGGCAUUUAAGAGAUGCUUCGAAUUUAUUUGAAGUACCUAACAACCAGUUUGUGUCUUCCAGUGGUCUUCAUGGGAUUGCCUGCUGCUUCCAAAAAUUGGCACUCCUCUGGCGAACUUAGGAUUCUCCCCCAUAUACUCAACUAUUGCCCGCAGCUGUGUAGUUUUUUCGUGCUGGAAUUGAGAAAAUAAAAAAAUAUAUAUUUGUUGUUCACAGAUUAAA